UACGGAGGGGGCUAGCGUUGUUCGGAAUUAUUGGGCGUAAAGAGCUCGUAGGCGGCUUGUUGCGUCUGCUGUGAAAUCCCGGGGCUUAACCCCGGGCGUGCAGUGGAUACGGGCAGGCUAGAGUUCGGUAGGGGAGACUGGAAUUCCUGGUGUAGCGGUGAAAUGCGCAGAUAUCAGGAGGAACACCGAUGGCGAAGGCAGGUCUCUGGGCCGAUACUGACGCUGAGGAGCGAAAGCGUGGGGAGCGAACAGG
rnacentral:rRNA from 1 species